rnacentral:rRNA from 1 species
GACGAACGCUGGCGGCGUGCCUAAUACAUGCAAGUUGAGCGCUGAAGGUUGGUACUUGUACCAACUGGAUGAGCAGCGAACGGGUGAGUAACGCGUGGGGAAUCUGCCUUUGAGCGGGGGACAACAUUUGGAAACGAAUGCUAAUACCGCAUAAAAACUUUAAACACAAGUUUUAAGUUUGAAAGAUGCAAUUGCAUCACUCAAAGAUGAUCCCGCGUUGUAUUAGCUAGUUGGUGAGGUAAAGGCUCACCAAGGCGAUGAUACAUAGCCGACCUGAGAGGGUGAUCGGCCACAUUGGGACUGAGACACGGCCCAAACUCCUGCGGGAGGCAGCAGUAGGGAAUCUUCGGCAAUGGACGAAAGUCUGACCGAGCAACGCUGCGUGAGUGAAGAAGGUUUUCGGAUCGUAAAACUCUGUUGGUAGAGAAGAACGUUGGUGAGAGUGGAAAGCUCAUCAAGUGACGGUAACUACCCAGAAAGGGACGGCUAACUACGUG